rnacentral:rRNA from 1 species
UACAGAGACUGCAAGCGUUAUUCGGAUUCACUGGGCGUAAAGGGUGCGCAGGCGGUUGGGGUGUGUCAGAUGUGAAAUCCCGAGGCUUAACCUCGGAACUGCGUCUGAAACUACUCGACUAGAGUACUGGAGAGGGAACGGAAUUCACGGUGUAGCAGUGAAAUGCGUAGAUAUCGUGAGGAACACCAGAGGCGAAGGCGGUUUCCUGGACAGUUACUGACGCUCAGGCACGAAAGCAUGGGGAGCAAAAGGG